ensembl:lncRNA
GGCAUUCUUUGGCAUUGCCUCUCUUAGGGAUUGGAAUGAAAACUGACCUUUUCCAGUCCUGUGGCCACUGCUGAGUUUUCCAAAUUUGCUGGCAUAUUGAGUGCAGCACUUUCACAGCAUCAUCUUUCAGGAUUUGAAAUAGCUCAGCUGGAAUUCCAUCACCUCUACUAACUUUGUUCAUAUUGAUGCUUCCUAAGGCCCACUUGACUUCAGACUCCAGGAUAUCUGGCUCUAGAAUGGACUGUAGCCCGCCAGGCUCCUCUGUCCCUGGAACUCUCCAGGCAAGAAUAACGAGUUGAAUAGACCAUAGCCCGCCAGCCUCUUCCGUCCCUGGGACUCUCCAGGCAAGAACACUGGAGCCGGCUGCUGGGCCACCUCGGCGGUCCCCGGCAGGAGGCUCUGGGGUCCGCGAUCAACUCGAGCCCGCCGCGCCGUCGCCGGCGUCCAGCAGGGGGCGCUGCACCCCGGCUCGCCGGCCCUCUCUUCCCCGCCGAGGCCGCCGAGACGCCGGCCAGUCGGGGAGCGGGUCUGCGCGCGCACGUUCUC